ensembl:piRNA 21ur-9170 ncRNA
UAUUUUUAAAUCAUCCGCAAA